UUCUAAAGCCUCUCCUUCUUCUUUUCUCAAGAAUUAUCAGUUUACACAACUCCUCUUCCGCUCUGAUAUCUCUUAUCUCUUCUCUAUGAGAUGUUUCCUUCUCGCUUUUUAAUAAACUUUCCAUCUCAUUAUUUUCUUGUAAUCCCUGUUUAGUUGCUGAGAAAGCGAAAUAAAAUUUUCUUCACUUUAAUUAUCGAUAUGCUGUUUUUCUUUUGUUGUGUUUCUCUCUGUGACCAGAUUCCGGUUCGUGUCAUGUUCUUUCUUUUAGAUUCUGCAGAUUCAUUAUCUCUUUAAAUCAAUUGCUUUUUUAUUUAAAAAAUCAAACUUUCUUUCAAGAUCUGUGGCGGAGAAACGUUUAUGUCAGACGCCGGAAGGCCACCGUCUCUGUUCUAACAGCUGCGGCUUCCUCGACAGGUCCACCACCAUCAAAUCCUAUAUCUCCGCAUUUCCCCUCCGUCGUUGGAGAUCGUUUCAGUUUCUUCUCUGAUGAUCUAACCUCUUUUCCAAACCAAUCUGCUGAUUUGAGAUAACGACGAAGGACGUACCGAAUAUGAUGACUCAGACGACAAAACAGCCGUAGAAGCUGACUAAAUCACUCCACGGCGUCCAGGAAACGGGUCGGGUUGACGGGAUUCAGGUGCCAAUCCAGGAUGGCUUGUUGUGGGCCCAUAGAUAGCCGGAAGUCCAUUUCGUUUCAAAUCACCGGUGAGAAUCACCGACUGGUAGAUGGAUAAGAUUCAUUGAAUUUAAGAUCGUGAGGAAGAGUUAAGUUUGGGUUAAUGAUGCUGAAUCAAUGAGACUUGUAACGCUUCAGAGGUGAAGAAUCCGAUGGAAAGCUUACUGACGAAUCAUUGGGUCACACGCUAUUUCAGAUCCGCCAGACAGAAGCGGAUAUUCAUAGAACCCGAUGAACCCUAAAGCUGUGAGGAAUGCAGAAGAAAAUGGCGAUAUGGUCCUCUCUUUUGUCUAGUUUGGGCUCUCAGAUUCUAUAAGCUAAUAUUCGGGGCAAGUCCAUUAGCAAAACGUGAUCAAUCGUUUAAGUUAGAUUGCCACGUGUCAGGCUCUCUUCUCUUUAUUUGAUAACGUGUCUCUCUUUUUAGUCAACUUUAUGUAAUAAGAUAGUUCUAGAACUCAAAUCACAAUGCUCAAAUCAAGCAACUGCUAGGGUUAUUGAUUAAAUUCUUCAUAUCACAACUA